rnacentral:rRNA from 1 species
GGGAUAACAGUUGGAAACGACUGCUAAUUCCGCAUAAGCGCACAGGGUCGCAUGACCUGGUGUGAAAAACUCCGGUGGUAUGAGAUGGACCCGCGUCUGAUUAGCCAGUUGGUGGGGUAACGGCCUACCAAAGCGACGAUCAGUAGCCGACCUGAGAGGGUGACCGGCCACAUUGGGACUGAGACACGGCCCAAACUCCUACGGGAGGCAGCAGUGGGGAAUAUUGCACAAUGGGGGAAACCCUGAUGCAGCGACGCCGCGUGAGCGAAGAAGUAUUUCGGUAUGUAAAGCUCUAUCAGCAGGGAAGAAGAAAUGACGGUACCUGACUAAGAAGCACCGGCUAAAUACGUGCCAGCAGCCGCGGUAAUACGUAUGGUGCAAGCGUUAUCCGGAUUUACUGGGUGUAAAGGGAGCGCAGGCGGUACGGCAAGUCUGAUGUGAAAGCCCGGGGCUCAACCCCGGUACUGCAUUGGAAACUGUCGGACUAGAGUGUCGGAGGGGUAAGUGGAAUUCCUAGUGUAGCGGUGAAAUGCGUAGAUAUUAGGAGGAACACCAGUGGCGAAGGCGGCUUACUGGACGAUUACUGACGCUGAGGCUCGAAAGCGUGGGGAGCAAACAGGAUUAGAUACCCUGGUAGUCCACGCCGUAA